CUGCAGCAGAAAAGGCCAAAAGACCUGGAAAACAGAGCCGACCAGCGUCUGCACACAAGUCCGUCAGACGCACCACUCCAUCGUCGACGGCAAGAUCGCCGUCCGAACCACACAUCGAGGUUCCGGUAGCAGCUCCCGAGAGGACGACCGCCGUGAUGGAUGCAGCGCCUCAGCCCUGUCGGCCCACAGCAACAUCAGCAGCACAACCGGAGGUGACAUACGAGGGAUGGCACAAAAUAUGGGAGUCUGCUCCCACAGGCUGACGUUGCAUGGCUGAAAGAGGACGAAACCAAUGGACUCUUCCAGAGGGCUGCAUCCUUUCAGGACAAAUAUGGAAAGAUGAAGUGGAGGAAGGUCCUGAAGGAUGACAGGAUGUGGUUUCAUCCCCCAGAGGUGCCUGGAGUGGGAGGUAAGAAUGUUCCAUCGGCAGACUCCUUUUUCUGCAGUCGUGUCUUUUUCUGGAGACCAGUAGGUGUGUGGCGUUACAGCCUGCGGUGUCCCAGAGCUGCAUGCCCGGUGCGGGAAAACAAAGGCGCUUUUCUGUACCGUUGCGGUUAUUCUCACACGGUCAGACAGAUCUGCCACGUAUCUGGGUGGUACUCCAUGCUGACUGAGGUCCUGGCCUGUAACGCAUGCAGAAAAGCAGCCAAAGACUCAGAGGAGCGUGCCAUUGGCCGCUUCCCGUCAUGGGAAGCCUGCAUCCUCAAUCAGCUCAGUCCAGCGCACCAGGCCAUGUUCCCUGCUGUAUUGACAUUACGGUGGGGGGUGGACAAGCAGGUGGUCCGGCAGAAGGCCAUGAAAGCUGGCUGGAAGAUCCAUCCGUUGCCUGCCCCCCCCCCUCCCAGUUGUGGCCAUGCUUGUGUGGGUGGAGCCAGAUUAAUGAAUAAAGUAGCAACACAUGAUCUCUUCUCUGUUCUUACUGUUAACUAAUGAAAGGUGCUUUGUGUGUGCGUGCAUGUAUGCGUGCCCAUGUGUGUUUCCACUCUGUCUGUCCAGCUGAGCAGCAGCUAACUAUCUAGGUUUGUGCUCUGUGGCUGGCUGGAAGAUCCAUCCGUCAGCCUGCCUUAAAUACUUAAUGAGCAAGAGUGUUUGAUGAAUAGGAGCCACCCUGCUCCCACUGCGCUCUAUUAACACGGCUUUAAGUCCACCUACUGGGACAUGCACACAUUAGCUCUCAGCAGAAUCUUUAGCAUUAUGAAAAUAUAUUAUUGUUAUUCAUGGGCUCAUUUUUUUUAAAGGCAACAUAAAAGGAAAUUCCUUAUGUCUACAGUCAAGGUUUGGUAGUGUCUUGUGGUUAGACAGUCUCACGCCCCUGCUGUCUGUUUCUGUGUUGGUCUCCCCCCCCCGCCGUCUCAUUCUGCCUGACCUAAUUACCCUCGUGGCCACCUGUGUCUAAUGGUCUCCUCCCCUUCCCUUGGGUUUUUU
rnacentral:lncRNA from 1 species